AUCUAUCUUACUGGCGGACGGGUGAGUAACGCAUACUCAACCUGCCCUUCCUAGGGGGAGGGGAGAUGGAAACGACUGCUAAGACCGCAUACCAUCUAAUCUCGGCUUCGAGGAUGGAUGAAAGGUAGGCCUCUAUUUCUAAUCUAUCACUGAAGGAGGGGAUUGCGACUGAUUAUCUAAUUGGAGGGGUAACGGCCCACCACCGCGAUGAUCAGUAGCCGGUCUGAGAGGAUGAACGGCCACAUUGGGACUGAGACGCGGCCCAGACUCCUCCGGGAGGCAGCAGCGGGGAAUCUUCCGCAAUGUACGAAAGUCUGACAGAGCAACGCCGCGUGAGUGAUGACGGCCUUCGGGUUGUAAAGCUCUGUUAAUCGGGACGAAAGGCCUUCUCUUGAAUAGUUAGAAGGAUGGACGGUACACGAAUAGAAAGCCACAGCUAAAUACGUGCCAGCACCCGCGGUAAUACGUAGGUGGCACGCGUUGUCUCGAAUUAUUGUGCGUAAAGCGCGCGCGGGCGGAUUGGUCACUCUCUCUUAAAAGUUCGGGGCUUAACCCCGUGAUGGGAUAGAAACUCCCACUCUAGAGUGUAGGAGAGAAAAGAGUAAUUCUUAUAGUAGCGGUGAAAUGUGUAGAUAUUAGGAAGAACACCCGUGGCGAAGGCGACUUUCUGGACGAAAACCGACGCUGAGGCGCGAAAA
rnacentral:rRNA from 1 species